rnacentral:rRNA from 1 species
GACAGAGGGUGCAAACGUUGUUCGGAAUUACUGGGCGUAAAGCGCGUGUAGGCGGCUUGGCAAGUCGGGUGUGAAAGCCCCGGGCUCAACCUGGGAAGUGCACUCGAAACUGCUUGGCUUGAGUACUGGAGAGGGAAGCGGAAUUCCUGGUGUAGCGGUGAAAUGCGCAGAUAUCAGGAGGAACACCCGUAGCGAAGGCGGCACUCUGGGCCGAUACUGACACUGAGGAGCGAAAGCGUGGGGAGCGAACAGG